AAAAUAAAAUCCCAAGUUCAAAACCUUAGAGGCCCUUCCUUCUUCCUAACUCUAACGCCCCUAAGAGAACCUUAACCAGCCGCCUGCCAUGCUCUUCUCAAACAACCAACUUAACACCCCUCAUACCAGCAACCAAACGGACAUAAACAUCCACCAUCCAUGAAAAGGCCCCAUUUUCGGCCACUACUAGCCAUCAAUGACCCUCUCUGAACCCCAUCUCCUCACACCUUUCACCAGUCGCACUCCCAUCUCUUUAUAGUCGGAAUCCGACAAGAACACACCCACCGACCUUGCUUCUCGUUUUCUUUUAACGAUGUUGCUGUUCUGACAAUAACCACCAUUGAAGUGGUGAUUCCGUCCUCGCAUGUCCAUAGAUAAAAACAGGGGCGAUUUUGGAGACAGUAAAAAGUUGACACAAAUUAGGGGUUCUUCGGACAGAGAGUUGUGUAAAAUGAUUAGGUUCGAUUGAGUUGCUGUUGGUUUCGAGUUUUACUAGUGUCAUUUGAGAUCCGUUUGUCAUUCUGAUUUGGCUUGCGGUCCCUGCUCAAAUUUGUUGCCGUUGUUUUCCAUCUUCAUUUCGAGUUCAAUUAACGGAAUUCUCAUUAGAUUGUAAUCGUGGAAGAUUCAAAUAUAUCGGAAAGCAGUUCAGGUCCAAAUCUUAUCCUAUUUCUUUCUAUCUUGUGGUUGAUUUUAGAUAGUGAGACUUUAUUGCAUAUUUGGUAUGUUGUUUGUUUGCUAAUGUUUAGUUACUACAGUAGAUCUUUUAAGUUGUUCUAGAUGAUGGUUUAAGUUUAAUUGUAUAACUUGAGUUUGUAUCGUUUAAAUGUUAAACAAAGAUUAAGCUAGGAAAUGAAAGUUGUUGUUCAUAAGCUGAUUUGACAAAUUGGGCAGUGGAGUUGGGUAUUAAAAUAAAAGAUGAUUUGAGCUUAAAAUGUUAUUAUUAUGCUUUCACUAAUCGUACGGUAGGAACAUGAUUAGGCCAACAAUACCUGGGUAGGCAAUCUUUCGGAUUUUUGUUAGUUUUGAGGCGAGUGGUUGUUCCCUUUGUUAAAGUUAUCCGGGGAAUGCCCCGAAGGAUUUGUAUAUAUUUUAUUCCGAAGAAUGCCCCGUUGUAUUAUGUAAUUGGAGGCCGAAAGCGAACUCGUAAUAUUUUUAUUCUUAUUUCAUUUUUAUCUUUCUGUUAUUAGGUGGAAACGAUCUUGAGCCUCUUAUGUGUUAAUUUUCCCAUUUCUGUGUUUAUUACCUCAAUUCGAAUAUUUUAAAAGCCGACUAGAUCAAGUAUGCAACUGUUCUAGUUACUGAACUCGGGGAAUACCUAACACCUUCUCCCUGAGUCAAAUGAACCCCCUUAUCUAUAACUCUGGUGCAAACUGGUUUAAGAGUGAAAUGUGUUUCGAAGGAAAAUUAUUAUUUUAAAAAUGGUAACCUGGCACACCGAAACCAAUGUCAGGUGGCGACUCUGAAAAUCCUUUGAAACACAAUCUUUUUGUCACUUUUCAUAAUGGAAAACCCUUUCGAGCUUCAAAAAUCACUUUCAUUAUUGUAAGAGGGUUAGUGGGGUGAAAAAAUGGGUGUGACACCCUCAAGUUUUGGAAUCGAUGAUACGUGACACUCAGGCUGCAAAGACUUGUCACGGAGAAGGGGCCCACGGAGAGGAAGAUAUUUUCCUUUGCUAUUUCUCUGAUGUAGAAGAUUUUACCGGUUUGGGUGAUUUGGACGUACCAAGGAAGAGCUCGAAUGAGGCUUCCUCGAGCUAUAUAUUGACCAACCAAUUCCUGGACCCUAGCGUCGACCCUGAUCGUAAACAACCUCUUAUGAUCUCGAUCCCGGAAGAUACUCAAGUUUUCUCUUCCCUCGUAGGGGUGGAGAGAAAUUUUUAGUGCUUGGUCACCAAAGAGGAUCAGGAAAAAAUGGACGCAGUGGACGUUGCCUUUUUGUUCAACGAGGCCCAGCAUGCUCUGAAUCGGGCUUCAGUGGCAUCAUGAGGCCUUUUUCCGCAUCCAUGAGGAACGGAAGGCCGAAGUCCAGGAUCUCUCUAAGAAAUGCAAUACUUACAAGCUUCUUAGUGAGAAACUUCAGGUAGACCUGGUGGAGGCUCUAAAUGCGCAUAAAGAGAUGGCUAAUCAGGUAUUCCUAGUUCUUCAUGACAGUGAGGACGAGUUCGAGAUAACAACUAACAAUCAAGGUCCUUCAAAGGAAAAUAGAUAAAGUGCAAGAUGAAGCCGAACAUUUCAAAGGAUGUAUGGAUAUUUUGGCGGCACAAAAGGAUACCGUUCAAGCAUAUAUGGAUUCUGCCAAGUCACAGCUUUGAUAUGCAUAGGAAAAUGCCUUGGUCCAGGCGAAGAAGGUCGAGGAGCUCGAGUCCAAUUUAGCCAAUUUGGCCAAAGAGCUCGAGGUUGCUAGAUCUGAAGUGGCCUCGGCCAAUAUUAAUGCCAAGCCACCCUCGAGUAGGCCAAGGGCCUGGUUGAUCAUUCGAAGUGGCAGGCUCGAAGGGAUGCUCUCAAGGAGGCCCUUGCUCAAAGUAUCGACAUAUAUGCUGAACUCGAGAUCGCCAAAGCUGAUGAAGCAAAGGCUUAAAAGUUAGCAUUUUCCAAUGAGGAUUCCGAGGAUGUGAGCGGAUCUGGUAGAGAGGACUCUAAGGGCGAAGAAGCUGCUCUAGAAGAAGACUAGGACUUUAAGAUUAGAAGUGUUUCCUUUAAGGCUGUUUUGGCCUUUGUAAAGAGUUCAGAUCGGGCCAUGCCGCCCUUGUAAAUGAUUUUUGAUAUAUAAAAGAUCUUUUCUUUCCCUUUC